rnacentral:rRNA from 1 species
UACGUAGGUGGCAAGCGUUGUCCGGAUUUACUGGGCGUAAAGAGCGCGCAGGCGGUCGUUCAAGUCGCGUGUGAAAGCCCCCGGCUCAACUGGGGAGGGUCACGCGAUACUGAUCGACUCGAAGGCAGGAGAGGGAAGUGGAAUUCCCGGUGUAGUGGUGAAAUGCGUAGAUAUCAGGAGGAACACCAAUUGCGAAGGCAGCUCGCUGGGACGUUACUGACGCUGAGACGCGAAAGCGUGGGGAGCAAACAGG